UCCCCCGACCAAGGAAGGCACGACCCGCUGCCCCUCUCUUCUAGGGUUUCAAGCGGCGGCGACACAGGCGGUGGCGACGGCGGUUGGCCCGCACCACCACUCACGUCCGUCGCCACGGCCACAUGCCUCGUCGCGACGACAUCGACGCCACCUACGCACCGCACGAUGUCGCGCCUCGCUCGCCUUCUUCGACGAUGCCCGAUGCAGCCAAGCCAGGUGUGCCUCUGCCUUAGCCGACGCAGUCGGCCAUGACUAGCAGCAAUCCCCAAGCCUGACUCGCCGCUGCCGCCUGCCGCGGCUCCGCCUCCUCCUCUGCCGCCAGGGCGCUGUGUGAGGAUAGCCGCCGCUUCAUCCAAGGACGCUCUUAUCAAAGGCCGGGGCGCUGCUGACGGAUGCCGCAUCUGAGUCCAUGGCGGACCUCUUCCCUUCAUCUCUUCUCUAUUCGGCCCUGUGAGACUUGGAACACACUGCUCGAAGGUGACGGGAUGCCUGGGGCAACUGCUGAUGCCGGAGAGGGUCAGCUGUUCUGAACUGGAUUGGGGAGAUCAGUUUUUGUCAGCGAGAGGGCUAUAAGGAGGGCCAUGGCAUUGGUCGGGGAGGAGAACACACUGAUCAAGAUAAAGCAAUCAUUUGAGGAUGUACCUGAUGCAGAGGGCGAAUCAAGAGAAAUGGAUGCUCCAUUUAGAGG